rnacentral:lncRNA from 1 species
CUGAUUUUUUCUUCUGCAACAUCUAAUCUGCUAUUAACCACAGAGAUUUUUCAUCGUUGACAUCGUAGGCUUUGUCUCUCAAAAUCUGACUUACUUUUUUUAAUAUUUUCUAUGUCUCUACUUAGCACAUUUUAUCGUUCCUCUAGCUUUUUGAUCGUACAAAUACAGUUAUAAUAACUAUUUUAAUGUCCUUCUUAUCUAUUAAUUUUUUCAACUGUGUCAAUUCUGAGUCAGUUUUGAUUAAUUGAUGUUUAUCCUUAUUUUGUAUUGUACUUUUCUGCUUUUUUUUUUUUCAUGAACCAGACAUUGUGAUUCUUACACUGCUGGCUGCUGAAUAUUUUUGUAUUCCUGUCCAUUUUGUUUUUUUUUUUUUCUGGUAUGUGAUAAAUUACUUCAAAAUACUUUGGUUCUCUUUGAUCUUGCUCUUAAGCAUUGUUAGAUAGGACCAGUGGAGCAUUAAGUUCAGGGACAAUUUUCCUCCCUACUGAGGCAAAACCCUUCUGAGUAUCCUACUUGAUAAACCAUAAAUUGUGAGGUUUCCCACUCUGACUGCUAAGAAAAUGGGCAUUAUUGUAGAACCUGAUUGAGCUUUGGGUAUAUUUCCCACUAAUUCCUCUGAGUGAUUAUUUAUCAAGCGUGAGUAGUUUCCUCACUGACAUUCAUUAACCAGUAUUCAGCUAAAUACUUGCAGAGGACACCUAGCAGAUUUCCCGAGUUUUCUCUCUUUGCAGCUCUCUCCUUUCAGGUACUCCACCAUGUGAAAUGUAACUACCUUGAUCUCCCUGCUCCCUUUUCCUUAAUUCAGAGAGACUCCUAGACUCCAUGUGGCUUCUUCUGCCUGCAUCAUGGCCUGGAAACCGUCCACAUGAUAGCCUAAAUCAAUCAUAGGACUCACCAGGUGGUCGCAUUUUAAAGAACUGAACCGAUGCCAAAUACAGACAGCAAUUUUUAUGGGAGAGACAAACAGAGAGAAGAAAAGGAAAACCAAAAGACAAUAAAAAGACGGGAUACAUCAGAGGAUAAAAGGAGCUCAUUUCCUGUAGAGGAACAAACUCCUUUCCUGUCUUCCUGUCUCACUCCCCCAACCAGGACAGCUCCUCUAUCUACAGCAGGCCCUAAGUCACACCUCCAUUGACCUAAUAAAAACUGGUUCCUAUCAC